rnacentral:rRNA from 1 species
UGGGGAAUUUUGGACAAUGGGGGAAACCCUGAUCCAGCCAUCCCGCGUGUGCGAUGAAGGCCUUCGGGUUGUAAAGCACUUUUGGCAGGAAAGAAACGUCGCGGGUUAAUACCCCGCGAAACUGACGGUACCUGCAGAAUAAGCACCGGCUAACUACGUGCCAGCAGCCGCGGUAAUACGUAGGGUGCAAGCGUUAAUCGGAAUUACUGGGCGUAAAGCGUGCGCAGGCGGUUCGGAAAGAAAGAUGUGAAAUCCCAGAGCUUAACUUUGGAACUGCAUUUUUAACUACCGGGCUAGAGUGUGUCAGAGGGAGGUGGAAUUCCGCGUGUAGCAGUGAAAUGCGUAGAUAUGCGGAGGAACACCGAUGGCGAAGGCAGCCUCCUGGGAUAACACUGACGCUCAUGCACGAAAGCGUGGGGAGCAAACAGGAUUAGAUACCCUGGUAGUCCACGCCCUAAACGAUGUCAACUAGCUGUUGGGGGCCUUCGGGCCUUGGUAGCGCAGCUAACGCGUGAAGUUGACCGCCUGGGGAGUACGGUCGCAAGAUUAAAAACUCAAAGGAAUUGACGGGGUCAUAGCUGUUUUCCU